rnacentral:rRNA from 1 species
UAGGGAAUCUUCCGCAAUGGGCGAAAGCCUGACGGAACAACGCCGCGUGAGUGAUGAAGGUCUUCGGAUCGUAAAACUCUGUUAUUAGGGAAGAACAAAUGUGUAAGUAACUAUGCACGUCUUGACGGUACCUAAUCAGAAAGCCACGGCUAACUACGUGCCAGCAGCCGCGGUAAUACGUAGGUGGCAAGCGUUAUCCGGAAUUAUUGGGCGUAAAGCGCGCGUAGGCGGUUUUUUAAGUCUGAUGUGAAAGCCCACGGCUCAACCGUGGAGGGUCAUUGGAAACUGGAAAACUUGAGUGCAGAAGAGGAAAGUGGAAUUCCAUGUGUAGCGGUGAAAUGCGCAGAGAUAUGGAGGAACACCAGUGGCGAAGGCGACUUUCUGGUCUGUAACUGACGCUGAUGUGCGAAAGCGUGGGGAUCAAACAGG